GCUCCCGGCGAGCGAUCCUGCAAGCAUGCCCAGGAGUACAUGCUGGCGCGCAGCGUCCACCGUGUGCAGGGCAGUGUGCUGGGGCGCGGGAAGCCCAAGGAUUCGCAGCACUGCCCCACGCGAGAAAGGGAAAAUGAGCCCCCCAAGGGCGGCAGUGCCACAUGCUUUGAACUACCACGGCUCAACCUAGGCGCCUGUGACUUCCAUUCUGCCGCCCGGAACAAGCAUCUUCACUCUCCAUCCCUCUCUGUCCAUCAUCCAUGUCUCCACCCACCCUCCAUUCACCUUUCUUUCAUCACCAACACACUCACCCAUACCCAUUCACCCAGCAUACAUCUUGCCAUCCAUCCAUUCGCUCGCCCUUCCACCCAUCUACCCAUCCACCUAUGCAUCCACCCAUCAUCCAUCCAGGGAAGGUCAGAGCUGUGUCAGUGAUAGCAAGCUCAGUAGAACAGACAUGGACCUUGCCCUCAGGGACCUUCCAGCCUAGAAGGUCCACAUAGAUUAAUCACAUAGAUACCUAAUUAGGAAGUGAGAUGCAUGCUAUGAACAAAAAGUCAAAGGUGUCAUGACAUUAUCCUGGACAGAAGGUAGGACCUGAACCCAUCUGGAAGAUCAGAGGUUUCUUCGGCAAUUCACAUUGAGCAGAAAUCUGAAGUCCAAAUAGAAGUAAACAAGGAAUCAACUGCCAGUCUGCAGCUGGAGGACUGAGCUCAGGCCUACCUGUGUGUGACUACCUGGAACCUGCCAGCACAUCCCCUCCUCUCUGCCACACUGAACUCAUUCGGGAUUCAGGACUUGGGUUGAACUAUCAGAGAACUAGGCUCCCUGGUUCCUAGUGGCCCUGAGUCUGGAAGAAGGGAGUGAUGCAAAUGGAGCCUGGAGCCUCCAGAGCAGAGGCAGGAGCUACCUGGUCUUCCCUCGGAUGACGCCCUGAUGCAAUACCUCCAUCUUCCAGCUCUUUCAUCCUA